rnacentral:lncRNA from 1 species
CAGCAGUUGGUUCAGAUAAGGAGCAGCAGCCUGUAGCAGAGGCGUGAGGAGAAGGGAGCAACAACAGUUAUGGUUCAGGGAGGAAGAAGAGACAGCAGCAGGAGGUCAAGGGGAAAAAGAAGAAGCAGUGGGGGCGUGGAGAGAAGAGCAACAUCAUGAGUUAGGAGAAGUAGAGCAGCAAAACGGGGGCGCCCUCACGCGGAUGACCAGACGCCUGUGCUCCCCUUUGUCUGGUUGGGCGCGCGAGGUACGGCGGUGGCUGGAGAUGGUGGAGGGAUGGCGCAGUGAAGGUGGAGAUGGAUCGAUGAUGGUGGAUGCUGGUGAUGGCACGGUGGCGCGUCUGCGAUGGAUGGAUGGUGUAGGGGGAGGAGAGUGGUGGCGCGCGGUGGUGCUGGUGGUGAUGGUGAUGUGGUGGGAGCGCGAUGGCACGGGUGGAGGUGCUGCGGGGUUGUGGAGCAGGUGGAGGUGCUGGGUGGUGCGCCGCCACGCCGGCCUGGCCGCGGAUGCGGUCGGAGGUGGAAGAAGGAGGCGGGGGAAAGAGGGGAUGGAGAUGCCAGGCACGAAAGUGGAUUAGCUGCCGCUAGGGAUUUUGACCCCUCCUCUGAUCUGCCACUUUACAAUUUUGGCCCUUCUCCUUUUCUUCUUUCUUCAUAAGAAGGUCCCUUUCUUCUUUAACUUGUCCCAUGGAGCAUAAUUUCUUCACACACAAGUCCCUCUGUCUUUCUUCUUCCUUUUCACUUGACUGGUUCUCUUAGCCACUAGUCCAGAUCUUGAAGUUUAUAGUGCCUUUGCGCACUUUUCUGCAAAAGAAACACAAUGACUAGUAAAUGAUACUUUAUAUGAUUUUCAGGCAAAUAUUCAAUAUUUCACAACAAGAAUUGAUGGUCAUAUCUCAAUAAAUAAUAUAUUUCUAUGCCAAAAUUGUAUAUAUGAAAUGUGCUUAUCAAGUUCCCCCACACUUAAAUCUUUGCUUGUCCUCAAGCAAAGGCAUAUGACAAAGGCUAGAUAAUGAACAGUGAACUGACUAGAAAUGUCAAGUGAAGUAGGUCUCUAAACAGUGCAUGCCUUGGACUUAGCUAGUGAAAAUUAAUGGUUAGGAGUGCUACAUAUCAAUAGGACACUAGUAAACUCGACCAUUUUAAACUUUUACAAUGAUAAAAGAGGAUCAACAAGUUUAAAUGAUGACUGCGCCAAAUGGUUCCUAAAGAGAGCAUGAUCCCAAGAACAAAAAGAACUGGAAUUAAAUCUCUUAUUUGCAGAAAUAUGACUUUGUGGUUGAACCACUUAUUGAAUUUGAAAGAAACACACAUAUUAUUUUAUUAGUCUCACCGAAGGAACAUACCACCGAUCCCGAGAACAUGGUAUACACCUGGCUCAACCAAUUAUUAGUUUAGUUUUUUUUCUUUGUCUUCCCAAAGGAACAUACCACCGAUCCCGAGAACAUGGUAUACACCUGAUUCGACAAGUACAUUUAUUAUUAUUAUUAAUUACUGCCCAAGCUAACCCAAUUUCACAUGCCACCGGUCCCGGGAACAUGACAUGCUACUGUAGGUAGCCCAGACUUAUUUAUUCAUUAUUACUUAUCUUAAAUGAACAACGCAUAAGAACAAAAAUAGGAAUCAUCACUUCUCCAUGUCUGGUUCACAUGCUACCGAUCCAGGGAACAUAACAUGCUAAUCCAUAGUGGUUAGGUGAUUGCUCUCAAUGGGAAGACACUUGGCACAAAUUCAGCAUGUAAACAUGGUGAUCUAGGUGUAUCAUAGUAAAUGCAGAAAAUGAUGAAGUUUUCUAGUGUACUAGGGAUUUGAGCACUCAAAACUAGUAGUUCUCACUAAUUUUAGCAAAGCAUGCAUGGUGUAGAUCACUAGUUUACAAGGCAUUCAAAAAUCAAGUUCACAAAUUCACAUCAAGCACAAUGCCAAAGGUGAGAUUCAGCUUGACAACAAGUAAUAACUAGCUCAAGCAACCCAACUAGCAAUUGAAUUCAACAUGUAUUUAUGAUAUUCAGAAUGGGUCAUGAAACAUCUCACCGGGCUUUGAUCAUGUAGCACUCGCUCGAUCACCUCACCAACUGCAGCUCCUCUCCUUUCCUUCCUUAUGGAUGCUCCAGCUUCACUCUUCUUCGUGUGUUCCCCAUUGCUUCUCCUCAUCGCCAUGCUUUGAGUCCACCAGGAUCCCAUGGGAUGUCAUCUUGAACUUGGUCAGCCCACAAUGAAUGGUACACAAGCGUAAACCUGAAAGAACACUCAACAAACAAGCCAAUACAAGUGAUAGGGACAAUGCCCUCUAAGUCAUCAAUAAAGUAUCCUAUCACAUAAGCAUAUCUAAGCAUAUGACAAAUAGAUAUCAUCAAUAGACCGCAUGUUGCAUAGGCAAUAUCCAUGAUAUGGCAUAUCUUGUCAAGAAGGCUGAGAUCAUACCUGAGAUAGUUAGGAAGAACCUUCAGGACUACCUCAAUUGAAGAUACCAAGUGAGGUGUGGUAGUAGAAAUUUCCACCAGAUUCAUGUCAACAAGUGAAAUAGAGCUUGACUCCUUGACAUCUGAAUCCACCUCACCAUAAUCAACCAUGAAGCUCUCCAUCUCAGGCUCAAGUGUUGAGGAAGCAAUGCGGCUAACAUCAUCGAAGGUGAACUUCUCCAUAUCUGGCUCUAGCAGCACAUGAUCAAUAUCAACUAAAGCUGACUCCUCAAUAUAAAAAACAACUAACUGCAACUCUGUCUCAUCCAUGGAAGAAUCAUCACAAUGCAAAACCGAAUCUCCAAAACUAGUAUCCAUAUGAUCUGUAGCGUGUGUGUCAACUAGAAUGGUGUCAUCAUCGUCAAAUAUAAUCCAUGCAAGCUCAACCUUGCCACACUGAGAUAGAGGCUCGGGCUUUUGUGUAAGAAUUGGUGGUUGAGGUGUAGUGAUUUGUUGCAAGCAAACCAAUGAAUCAGACGUGGGCUUCUUAUUGUACCACUGAAGUUGGUGGAAAGCUAUGCUCUCAAUCAGCAGAAAAGCUUCAUCAAGUGUCUCGUUUGUAAUAGCUCCGCCCGCUGCCAUAUCGACGUAAGCUCGAGUGUCCCAAGUCAAUCCUCCAUAGAAUAUCUGCAGCUCUAACCAUCUCUCGAGCCCGUGGUUAGGACAUCUCAUGUAUAAAGCCUUGUAUCUCUUCCAAGCAUCAUACAAGCUCUCGCGUUCAUGCUGAACGAAGCUGAAUAUCUCAUCUCGAAUUGCGGACUGCUUGUGUAGUGGGAUAUAUUUAUCCAAGAAAGCUCGCGAUAUCUCAUUCCAACUGUAUGACCUUGAUGGCAAGGAUCGAUACCAAGCACGAGCAUCAUCAUGGAGGGAGAAUGAGAACAUCAUGCACUUGAUAGCAUCUUGAGGAACUCCAUGGUACUUGACUGUACCUGAAUACUCCAUGACUCGGUAUAAGUGCUCGUAGGGAUCCUCAGUGGGCAGUCCUCCAAACUGUUGUUGUUGAACCAAAGCAAUAAGACCAGGCUUCAUCUCAAAAUUCUCUGCCUGAAUAGUUGGCCAAACCGGUCCUGUGAUAUAGCAUUGACUACUUGGCAUCCAAAGAUCACGAAGCAAUGCCAUAUCUUAACCAAGUGUAACUAUAGAACAACCAGCAAAGGUUUAUGAUUCCCUACACACACUCAUAAACAGUAAACACUAGUCAGAAGGUUAGUAUCCUAAUAAGCCGAAGCAACAAUGGGGGAAAGUAGAGGAAAAACACUGAAGAUGAAAUACACGACGAAUUGAACAAGGAACUAAAGUAAAUCUAGUCUAUAGGCUAACACAAUCGCUCGACGCUAGUCCCCGGCAACGGCGCCAAAAUGAUCAAUUGUAAGUACAGCGGGGUUUUACGCCCAAACUGCGAGUGUCGUGUUCUCCACAGGGACUAGGCGAUCAGCGGCUACACUCGGCUAAAGCUAGGUGACACUAUAUUGGGAGAUGGAAACAGAAAAUAAACCUAAACUAUCAAUCAUUGUCACAAAAGAAAAUGCAAAAUAGCAUAGGGAGGUUCAGAUUAUCAUCACUGUCUUUUUGGCAUUUUCUUGUUACAUGAGAAUUCAAAACACUAAGACAUGCAUACAUAGACUACAAAAGGAAAUAUACAAGAAACAAACACAUAUAUAACUAGAAAGUAUGUAAUCAAAGGGGAAGAAGUAAGAUUAUGUGACAAGGACAGAAACUUCACAUCACAAUCACACUCACACACACAUAUUUAUAUAACACAGGUACUUGAGUAAACACAUGGACUAUAAACUGGAACAAAUUAAAUGAACACACACAUACACAAAUACGAAUAUGAUACUACAGGACACUGUUCUAAUACUCUCAGAUGAACAAAAUAAGUACUACUAAUAAAGCACAAAUCUGAAACUGACCAAGUUUCAAGCACAACUCAAAUCUGAACAUUACAAGGCAUUACACAUCCUAUCUUAUAGAAAUUCAAAGAAUAUAAAGAGGAUAAAAGAGAGAUAGCAACAGUUUAUGGUUCAGAUUAGGAGCAGCAGGGGCGUUUGAGAAAAGGUGUAGCAAGAAAAAGGGGCAGCGACAGUUUUGGGGAGAAGUAAUAGCAGCCAGCAAUUGGUUCAGAUAAGGAGCAACAGCGUGUAGCAGAGGCGUGAGGAGAAGGGAGCAGCAUCAGUUAUGGUUCAGGGAGGAAGAAGAGGAGACAGCAGCAGGAGGUCAAGGGGAAAAAGAAGAAGCAGUGGGGCGUGGAGAGAAGAGCAACAUCAUGAGUUAGGAGAAGUAGAGCAGCAAAACGGGGGCGCCCUCACGUGGAUGACCAGACGCCUGUGCUCCCCUUUGUCUGGUUGGGCGCGCGAGGUACGGCGGUGGCUGGAGAUGGUGGAGGGAUGGCGCAGUGAAGGUGGAGAUGGAUCGAUGAUGGUGGAUGCUGGUGAUGGCGCGGUGGCGCGGCUGCGAUGGAUGGAUGUUGUAGGGGGAGGAGCGUGGUGGCGCGCGGUGGUGCUGGUGGUGAUGGUGAUGUGGUGGGAGCGCGAUGGCACGGGUGGAGGUGCUGUGGGGUUGUGGAGCAGGUGGAGGUGCUGGGUGGCGCGCCGCCACGCCGGCCUGGCCGCCGCGGCGGCCGGAGGUGGAAGAAGGAGGCGGGGGAAAGAGGGGAUGGAGAUGCCAGGC